GGGCUUGUGGCGGAAUUUGGUAUACGCGCAACGAUGAGAGCGUUGUGUCCGAAAGGACGUGUGGGUUCGAGGCCCACCUAGCCCACCA
rnacentral:tRNA from 1 species